UGCCAGCCGCCGCGGUAAUACGGAGGGGGUUAGCGUUGUUCGGAAUUACUGGGCGUAAAGCGCACGUAGGCGGAUUAGUAAGUUAGAUGUGAAAGCCCAGGGCUCAACCUUGGAACUGCAUUUAAUACUGCCAGACUUGAGAUCGGAAGAGGAAAGCGGAAUUUCUAGUGUAGAGGUGAAAUUCGUAGAUAUUAGAAGGAACAUCAGAGGCGAAGGCGGCUUUCUGGUCCGAUACUGACGCUGAGGUACGAAAGCGUGGGGAGCAAACAGGAUUAGAUA
rnacentral:rRNA from 1 species